rnacentral:rRNA from 1 species
UACGUGAGGGGGCGAGCGUUGUCCGGAUUUAUUGGGCGUAAAGAGCUCGUAGGCGGUUCGGUAAGUCGGAUGUGAAAUCUCCACGCUCAACGUGGAGGGGCCAUUCGAUACUGCCGUGACUCGAGUCCGGUAGGGGAGUGUGGAAUUCCCGGUGUAGCGGUGAAAUGCGCAGAUAUCAGGAGGAACACCGGUGGCGAAGGCGGGUCUCUGGGCCGAUACUGACGCUGAGGAGCGAAAGCGUGGGGAGCGAACAGG